GGGCUAUUAGCAAGUUGGACAUGCGCCGGACUGUUAAUCCGAGAAUUACCUGGUUCGAUUCCAGGAUGGCCCGCCA
rnacentral:tRNA from 1 species